rnacentral:rRNA from 1 species
UACAGAGGGGGCAAGCGUUAUUCGGAAUUAUUGGGCGUAAAGGGCGCGUAGGCGGUCUGGCAAGUGGAAGGUGAAAUCCCUCGGCUUAACCGAGGAACUGCCCUCCAAACUGCUUGGCUUGAGUCCGGGAGAGGUGAGUGGAAUUCCCAGUGUAGCGGUGAAAUGCGUAGAUAUUGGGAGGAACACCAGUGGCGAAGGCGGCUCACUGGACCGGAACUGACGCUGAGGCGCGAAAGCGUGGGGAGCAAACGGG